UGCUAGCUAAGAGCUGAUUGACCUCAGUC
rnacentral:piRNA from 1 species